rnacentral:rRNA from 1 species
CCUACGGGAGGCAGCAGUGGGGAAUAUUGCACAAUGGUCGAAACCCUGAUGCAGCGACGCAGCGUGAAGGAAGACGGAUCUCGGUAUGUUAACUUCUAUCAACAGGGGAAUAAAUUACGGUACCUGACUAGUAAGCUCCGUCUAACUACGAUACAGCCGCCGCGGUAAUACGUAGGGAGCCAGCGUUAUACGGAUUUACUGGGUGUAAAGGGAGCGUAGGGGGUUUAGAAAGCCUGCAGUGAAAGCCCGGGGCUCAACUCGGGGACUGCUGGUGAAACUGUUGUACUUGAUUGCAGGAGAGGUAAGUGGAAUUCGUGGUGUAGCGGUGAAAUGCGUAGAUAUUAGGAGGAACACCAGUGGCGAAGGCGGCUUACUGGAGUGCAAAUGACGCUGAGGCUCGAAAGCGUGGGGAGCGAACAGGAUUAGAUACCCGUGUAGUC